UUGACAUUACCAUCCAAAAUUCGUCAUAUGUUGAUUAUCAUAAAAAUAUGGGAAUUUGCACGGGUUGUAAAAUUUGUUUCGCAUUUUUUUAAUACCUGAUACUCAAAAAGAAUUGGUUUUAUCUGCUGUCUUGUUCAGAAAAUAUUUAUAUUUUCACAUAAGAAACUUUUCGAAUGGUUUUUUUGAAUUUUUCAAUUCUGCAAUCCAGCUAUAAGUCAGACCCAACAAUUUUGUAGAUUAAACUUACCGACUGGAAAAUAUUAAUCUUUCAACUUAAAAAUGAAUAAUUUUUUUAGGUAUAUAUUUUGACUUUGAACACUCGAGUCAAAAUAAAUAAAGUCCUUAUGUAGUUGGA